UGGGGUAUCGCCAAGUGGCAAGGCAGUUGGUUUUGGUCCAACCAUUCCGAGGUUCGAAUCCUUGUACCCCAG
rnacentral:tRNA from 1 species